UCCUACGGGGCGCAGCAGUGAGGAAUAUUGGUCAAUGGGCGGAAGCCUGAACCAGCCAAGUCGCGUGAGGGAAUAAGGCCCUACGGGUCGUAAACCUCUUUUGCCGGGGAGCAAGGGCCGGGACGCGUCCCGGCCCGGAGAGUACCCGGAGAAAAAGCAUCGGCUAACUCCGUGCCAGCAGCCGCGGUAAUACGGAGGAUGCGAGCGUUAUCCGGAUUUAUUGGGUUUAAAGGGUGCGCAGGCGGCCUGUUAAGUCAGCGGUAAAAGCCCGGGGCUCAACCCCGGCGAGCAGUUGAAACUGGCGG
rnacentral:rRNA from 1 species